CAUCCAGCUCUGAUUCCCACUGCUUAAACACAGCUGUCAGAGCCCGACUCAAUUUUCUGGAAAAACAGAAAGACAUCCGGGGGCUCGUGAAAAACCUUUCCGCAAUUUCUAAGAUUUCCUUCGCUGGUCUGACAGGUUUAAGAAUUCUCAUUUUUGAAAGCUGUUGGACUUAAAAUUCCAGAACUUUAGGUUAGAACUGUUCUACUGUGAAUGAAGUUCUGGCUCUGUCAGCACCGCCUUUGCCUCUGCUCAGGUCUGGAACCCGGGCCUACGUUACUAUUUUUAAUCAGCAUCAUGAGCAGCAGAUCCAGCAUUUCCUUUAAGGUGUCAUCUCUUCAGCAAUCCAAAGGCGCUUCGACCUCAUGGUUCGUCCUGCCUCUCUCCUAGUUCUACGCCAAGACAUUUGACCUUUGCAAUGUCACCAAGGCCUUCAGGACAGAUGACCGCAGGCCCCGGCACCUGUUCUCUGCCCUGAGAUCAAGCCCUGCCUGCAUUCUCUCAGGAUCCAAGGCGGAUUCUUCUGGACAGACCACCCAGCUGGUGCUGCUGCAUUGCCAGUACUGCUGGUACUGAGCACCGGCGAUGUUCGGAGCACAGACUGCACAGCACUGGCUGUGGGUUAUCCUGGGCCUGCUGCAGAAUUCUAGAGAGCAAAAGUGAACUGAGCUCCCAGCACCAUCCAUGUCUGUCUUGCUGUGCCAUUUUGUGGAGGAGUGGGGAGUGAUAAAUUACUUGCCUUCCAGAGCUUUUUGUGAAAAAUUAAAAAAAAAAAAAAAGAAAAGAAAGAAAAUAAACUUAG